GCACCCUGAACCACCGUUCCACCUCAGCUCCUCCUCUCAUCCGUGCCCCCGAGCUCCUCGCUAUGCGCCGCCCUGGAGGGCUCGCGCUCGCCAGCUGGUUGUCGUUGCACUCGCAGGCGACCUCGCCGUCGCCUCAGCACUGCCCUCCACCUCAACUGAUGAUUUAGCUGGUUAUUAUAGCUUGUGGAUGUUCUCUGUUGUUUUUUUGCACACAAGGUGUUUGUCUGUUUGUCCGAGCCAAUGUUCAUGAGCUUUAUCUUUGCUGUGAGUACGGCAUCUUUCUGUCCAUCUGAUUGUUCCAUGUUAUACUAUCUGUUGAAGAAAAUAGAUCUGUAUUGUUUACCUUGAAUUUUCUGAUUGUAGAUAAAUGACCUGGCUGAGAAGGUCCCUUCAAUGAAAGGAGGAGUAUGGUCUUGGCCAUGGCUGGGAAGGAAGGAGAACAUGUAAAUUGAGGAUUUUUCAGAGCGAUCGGGACUGCUUGAUUUAUCAGUGGACUGGUGCGCUGGUUGAUUAGGAUCUUUCAGAGAGAUCAGGGUUGCUUGAUUAACCAGAGAGAAACUGGAUCAGUACUUGGAGUUGGGACUGGUGUGCUACGGUUGCUUGAUUAAUCAGAGAGAAACUUAUCAUAAUUUAUGAUUUCCUUUUCUUGAUUUGGAGCAAGUGUCUUUGCUGGAGUCAGCAUCCUUGUGGUUGAUCUCAUAUACACGAGG
rnacentral:lncRNA from 1 species